GUUAAUGCAAAACAACCACAUGCUUGGCUGGGAUCUCUCCUGACUACCCUCCUGACUGUGGCCCCCCUAUUUCUCCCUGCAAUCCUGUUUUUGUGCUUUCAAUAUAUCACUGUUAUCCCUGCAACUGAUUGCUCCUGUUUUACCAUCCUGACAGUUCAAUCUGACCAGCAUAGAAUUAGCAGGGUCUGAGCAGAUCCGGGCUACCGUCGCCAGCUCCUGUUCGUUCCCAGGUGGCUCCGGAACCCGAAGUGCCAACACCGCCUCCUUAUAAUGGAAUUUCUAAGUCAUGUCAACCAUUCCUCUUCCAAUGUGCCAUCACAUUUGCCCUGCAACCCUCGACCUUUGCUACCCAAGCAGUGAAGGUGGAAUUCGUCAUUACCCUACUCACUAGGAGGGCCAGAUAGUGGGCAACUACCAUCUGGGAGAAGCAAGCACCUUACUGUGCCACAUUCAAGCUGUUUCUUCAGGAAAUGAUCAAGAUAUUUAAAACACCCAGUCGCUGGCUUGAAAUGAAGCAGCUUUAUGUUUUCAGGGAGAUUGUCAUCCAUGACCUGCCAACAUUGUUUGAUGGCCUGGUGGAGCUGACAUGCAGCAACCUACACUGUCGACGUGUCAUGGCCCACUCCUCUUGGCCAAAUUCACCUUCCAAAGCAGCAGCUGUUCAUGCAGACGGUACACACUCAACAUGUCUGACAGGUGCUGCAGAGGCUACUUGCAAAUCAACUUUAUGUCAAAGCGGAAAAGUACAUAUUUCAAGCUGACUAAGACCGUGAUCUGCAGUUCAUUAUGGAGAUUGAUGCUUCAGAGAUUUUUCCCAUUUUUCAGUGCUUCUGAAAAAUGCACUGAAAUGAUUUCAUGAUUCCAUCCUCAGAUCAACAAGCAGUCUGAGCAAGCUAACCAGGAUUUGGAACAGAUGCUUGCUGUCUGGCAUCCCACAAUCCCACUUCCUGAAGCCAUCAGCUCACCUGGACAGAGUAUGCCCACAAUACGAUCCCUGUGGCAGCCACUGGUAUGCCCCCUUUCCAAAUUCUGUUGGUCAUCAGCCGCAUCUUUUUGCUUCCCAGGAACCUGAGGCACAUGUUCCCUUCACCCAGGCCUUUGUCCAGUGGUGCAGACUCAAAUGUGAAAGAGCCAGUAAGGUGCUUUUCCAGUCUCUUGCUGCUCUGCCCUCUUCUUCUAGUUCCAUCCAUCCGGCUCCUCUUCAGAUCUCUUAUCUGCCCGCCAGCCCCAGGACUCCAGCCAGGACUGCCAAGUUCCUGCCUCCACUCUCCGGGUUUCACUCUCUUUCUCCCCUGCCAUCACCAUUCUAUGUUCCCUGAUGUUCAUUGCUGGCCUCGCCUAUCUUGUCGUUCCUGGACUGUACUCAUCUCCCACCAGUGUUCCUGUUUGGUUCUGCUCUUCAGUUCACUCUGGAUUCCCUUCUUGCCCCCCGCCCCCCAAAUUUAGAAAUUAUAAUAUAAUUAUUUGGAACAUAGUCCUUAAAUUGAAACUACGGCAAAAAUGGUUCAUUCUUAAAUUAUCAAAUUAUCAGCUUUACUGUAUGUCACAAGGUUGAAUUAACUGAAAACAAAAAACUCCACAC